rnacentral:rRNA from 1 species
UACGUAGGGUGCAAGCGUUAUCCGGAAUUACUGGGUUUAAAGGGUCUGUAGGCGGGCAAAUAAGUCAGUGGUGAAAUAUCUAGGCUUAACUUGGAGGGUGCCAUUGAUACUAUAUGUCUUGAGAGCGGAUGAAGUGGGCGGAAUGUGCCGUGUAGCGGUGAAAUGCUUAGAUAUGGCACAGAACACCGAUUGCGAAGGCAGCUCACUAAACCGCAUCUGACGCUGAGGGACGAAAGCGUGGGGAGCAAACAGG